ACUGUCGGUGAUGUUUCAUUUACCCACCUUGUUUGAGUUCACCAUGAGAAAACUCUCAUGCACUACCAUCUGAGACCGU